CAACCCUCAAGCUCAGCUUGGUAUUGGGCCCUGUCGGUAAAACGACAGCCUUAAAAUCAGUGGCGGCGCGUUGGGUCCUGAACGUAGUAAUAUAUUUCGUUACAGGUACUUGAUGUGCUUCUGCCAUUAAACCCCAAUUUCUAUGG
rnacentral:rRNA from 1 species